rnacentral:rRNA from 1 species
GAUGAACGCUAGCUACAGGCUUAACACAUGCAAGUCGAGGGGCAGCAUUGGAGUAGCAAUACUUCAGAUGGCGACCGGCGCACGGGUGAGUAACACGUAUCCAACCUGCCGCUUACUCGGGGAUAGCCUUUCGAAAGAAAGAUUAAUACCCGAUGGUAUAAAGAGUUCGCAUGUUCUCUUUAUUAAAGAAUUUCGGUAAGCGAUGGGGAUGCGUUCCAUUAGAUUGUUGGCGGGGUAACGGCCCACCAAGUCUACGAUGGAUAGGGGUUCUGAGAGGAAGGUCCCCCACAUUGGAACUGAGACACGGUCCAAACUCCUACGGGAGGCAGCAGUGAGGAAUAUUGGUCAAUGGACGAGAGUCUGAACCAGCCAAGUAGCGUGAAGGAUGACUGCCCUAUGGGUUGUAAACUUCUUUUAUAAGGGAAUAAAGUGAGGGACGUGUCCCUUUUGUAUGUACCUUAUGAAUAAGGAUCGGCUAACUCCGUG